GACGAACGCUGGCGGCGUGCUUAACACAUGCAAGUCGAACGGAAAGGCCCCUUUGGGGGUCCUCGAGUGGCGAACGGGUGAGUAACACGUGAGUAACCUUCCCUUGACUUCGGGAUAACUUCAGGAAACUGGGGCUAAUACCGGAUAGGAAUCCUUGCUGCAUGGUGGGGGUUGGAAAGCUUCGGCGGUUUUGGAUGGACUCGCGGCUUAUCAGCUUGUUGGUGGGGUAGUGGCUUACCAAGGCUUUGACGGGUAGCCGGCCUGAGAGGGCGACCGGCCACAUUGGGACUGAGAUACGGCCCAGACUCCUACGGGAGGCAGCAGUGGGGAAUAUUGCACAAUGGGCGGAAGCCUGAUGCAGCAACGCCGCGUGCGGGAUGACGGCCUUCGGGUUGUAAACCGCUUUCAGCAGGGGCGAAGCUUGUGGUGACGGUACCUGCAGAAGAAGCACCGGCUAACUACGUG
rnacentral:rRNA from 1 species